AUAAACAAUUUAAAAUGGUUUCCAAAGUUGCAUAAUGCUAACCACAAUGGCUGGUUUCAACUAUCUGUGCAGUGGCUAUCAACAAUUUGGAUCAAACAUGAGAGCAAGUCAGUGCACAUGCAAGCUCGUGGAGAAGGAAACCACACUUGAUUACAAGGCCAGUGUGCACAAUCACAGAGGCUUAGUGGAAUAAAAACAGCUGCAAGAGUGUGAGAAAGCAAGAACAAAGAUGUGAUGACAGGGAGGCAGAAACAGCAGAGCAAUGAAGAGAUCUUCUGGCUUCACUGGGUCUUACUCAUAAGAGUGUGUGUGUGUCUGUCUGUCUGUGUGUUAGUCAAAGGAAUGUCUCAUCUGUACUAGCAUGUGUGCGUGUCUAUGUAAUUACGCAAAGGAUUGUAUAUAAAAAGUUGAUCCUACAGAAUCUUCAUACAUACUCACUGAGCACUUUAUCAGGAACACCUGUACAUCUGCUUAUUCAUGCACUUAUCCAAUCAGCCAAUCAUUUGGCAGUAGUGCAAUACAUAAACCAUGCAGAUCAGGAGCUUCAGUUAAUAAAGCCAUCAUGAAGUAAGACAGGGCUGGGUGCUACUGUUAGUUAUAAGUGUUUGAGUGUUUACAGACACAGGUUGCUCAGUUCACAGAGCUGUGUAAUUGUUCUGUGAGCAUGUUACAGUUCACUUGCCUGUUUAAAACUAGUCAGUAAUGUUAGCCACUAUGAUGCUGAAACUCUGUGACAUAAUUUGAUUAUCUUUUGAUUCUUAAACAUCUCUGAUCACUGUUACAUGCAGUUAUUCUCCAGCCCUAUGUUUUUGUAGUGCCCAAGAUAUUAUGUACCCUGCAAGCUGUAUUACUGCCAUCAUACCUGAUGUCUGGAACAAACCUACCAACUUGAAAUAUGACUGUGUUCCUUUCAUCGUUGGGGGUCUCAAUAAUUCUCAAUCAUAGGAUCAUAGGUCUUCUGAGAUUUGUAUUUUUUUUGUAAGGCAUGGUUCACAGCAGCAGAUGAAUCUAGCUAACUCAAGAUGUGUUCAUUCAUUAGUCAAAGUAGCUCUAACCCUCUUCUUUAGACUCGUGAGGGGUUCACAUACAUCCAAUCCACACUGUGAAUGUUUUAGUGAUGUAUACAGUAUGUACAAGAUAAAUACAAUAAUGUGUGUGUUAGUAGUUAAAACGGUUGCUUUGUUCAUUACUGUAACUUAGAUCUUGUUUUAUAACCAAUUAAUGCACAACACCAGGUCAUUCUAAAGGGUUCACAUAUUUUUUUCUUGCCACUGUACAUGUGACUGUGUUCUCAGACAUGCAGUUACAGUGCAGUCACCUGAUAGGAUUGCUCUGUACAUUUUCCCACCACAAAAAUGGGGUGUCUGCUAACCUCUUCUCUCUAAGAACAUCAUGGAAAAUACCAUAGAGCAGCAAGGAAAAGAGAAAAUAAUCUGAUUUUAAAAUAUAGCAAGGCUGACCUUAAAAGUGUAAAGUUCAAGGAAAGGUAGGAGUAAUGACACGAAGCAAUAAAAUUGAAAGGAGUAUUAUAUCAAGGAUGAGCCUUGGUCAUACUGGUCUAAGCAGUAACGUAACAUAAAAAAAGACAUGAAACACAAGCUAUCAGUGAAAUGUUACAGAGGACUUCAUGUGAUAUAGGGUACAUGGAUAUUUUCAGAUUUUAAGAAAACAGGGAAUGUUUGUAAAAUUUAUUUCACUAGUACAAUAACUCUUGUAAUACACACUCCAAUCCAGAAGGUGGCAAAAGUAGAAUGCAAUUUCACUGAAGGGAGAGGAAAGGAAGGAGGAGGCGGAAGACAAAGAAGAAUGCUCGAGAAGAAUGCUCGAUCUACACGUGGCUGACUCUCCCUUACUUGAGUCCAUCGCGUCCAUCCAAAGAUUUUUUGCCAGUGACAGACCCAUGCACCAUAUAUCAAGCCUACAAGUGACAUUUUUUUUUGGGGGGGGGGGGGGGGGGGUCUGCUGUAGUUUGGUGAGGUUUCCUUCUUUCGGUGAGGCGACCUCUGAAGCCACGUGGUACUCGUUUUCACAUGGCUCAGUUCUUAUGGCUCCUUCUCUCAGCUGCCGGUCUCAUCACCUGCGAUUGCAGUUCUCAAGGGUUACAGCUGUGGUUCUCUUCUUACUGGGGUACAUUGCCAUCGUAUACUGAAACUAAACUUGUAUGAAACUCAGAGCCUCAGUAACAGUGUGAACCAAAAGAGCUGAAGGUGAGGCCUGGAGAAAGCGUGACACUGACAUGUUUGAAUCCCAAACACACUAAACCGCCAGCGUUCAUGUGGAGCAGGCCUGACAUGCAGUCACAUGGUUAUGUCUUCUUUUACCGACAAAGCUACUCAGUUGAUUCCUUCCAGCAUCCAUCUUACUGUGGUCGCGUUGAGUUGAGAGAUCCAGAGAUGAAGCUUGGGGACGUUUCGGUGACCCUGAAGAACGUCACAUUCAAUGAUACUGGAACAUAUCAAUGUAAAAUUAUUGUCAGCUCAAGACGUAAAAAGAGAGACACACCUGAAGUCAUCAGUGUCGUCAACCUGAAGGUUGAAGACCCAGGUCCAGAUGCAGGAAACACCAGGGGAGGAGGAGACAAGCAGGGAGAAGAAGAUGGAGUCAGCAGAGGACAUGUAGCACUGAUAGCUUGUUUGAUUCCGAUUACUGCUAUUGUUGUUUUGAUGGUCUUCUAUAGAAGACACAUGGAGAAGAAUGAAUCCCAACCUAUUCCUAGUGAAAAUCUGUGAGAUAUCUGUAGAACAAACUCCUCUUCACUAUCAGAACAGCUGAGUCAGUGCCUCGCUUUAAAAAGCUCCACCUCUAAAGACUAGCAUUAUUGUGUAUUUUGCUGAUGCUUGAUCAGUAAUAUACACAGACAGUUUGACUUGAAUUGGGGCCAAAAAACUCAGGGAACAAACUGCUAUAAUCUUUGCUACAGGUACUUUACUGUACACACAGAGAGCCAGGCUCAAAUCAAAGUGAGCCUGGCUCUCUGUGUGUGGUCUCUCAGACAUGCAUCUGUGAGCUGUGUUGUUGUCUACAUGGUUCAGACUCUGUCUCUCGGUCUGCAGUAGCACACUUCUUGUUGGCAUUCACCUCCACAGACCGUCAGAUUUGCUGAACUGACUACAUUAACCUCUGCUGUAGCCAUCAGACAUGAACUUUCUUUCAUUUGUAACACUGAUCAGUAUUUAUCAGUUUUGUGCUGAAAUUUUAUACUUAAAUGUGGGAGUUAAAGGAUUUUUUUUUUUUUUUUUUUUUUUUUGGUUUCAAGGAACACGCAUAUGCACAUUAUUUUUUAUUUUAUUUUGUCAUCAUUUCAAUUAUAUUCCCGUGAAAGAAAGCUGUUGUUUAAAUGGUGGUAACCAUUCACUUUAUGUAAGCACUUCUAAGUUGUUACUGCCUCUGUUUUAAUUACAAGCUCUCAUGACUGAUGUUUGUUUGUUGGCCGUUAUAAACUAUUUUCAAAUAAUACUAACAAUAUUAAAUGCUUUAAACAAA